rnacentral:rRNA from 1 species
AACGAACGCUGGCGGCAGGCCUAACACAUGCAAGUCGAGCGCCCCGCAAGGGGAGCGGCGGACGGGUGAGUAACGCGUGGGAACGUACCCUUUGGUUCGGAAUAGCCCUGGGAAACUGGGAGUAAUACCGGAUACGGUCGAGAGACGAAAGAUUUAUCGCCGAAGGAUCGGCCCGCGUUGGAUUAGGUAGUUGGUGGGGUAAUGGCCUACCAAGCCGACGAUCCAUAGCUGGUUUGAGAGGAUGAUCAGCCACACUGGGACUGAGACACGGCCCAGACUCCGACGGGAGGCAGCAGUGGGGAAUCUUAGACAAUGGGCGCAAGCCUGAUCUAGCCAUGCCGCGUGAGCGAUGAAGGCCUUAGGGUUGUAAAGCUCUUUCGGGGGGGAAGAUAAUGACUGUACCCCCAGAAGAAGCCCCGGCUAACUCCGUGCCAGCCGCCGCGGUAA